rnacentral:lncRNA from 1 species
CCUGGGCUCAAGAGAUCCUUCUGCUUCAGCCUCCUGAGUAGCUGGGACUUCAGAAUCCCAGUCCUCUCUCUCUCACUGACCCCGAAGAUAAGCAUUGGAAAGGGGAGCUUUGGGGAAAUGAAUCUGCCCUGUCAUCUGCGUAUAGAGCUAAUCUUAAAUCCCAACUGCCAAAUGGAUCCUGAGGUGUCAGAAACUCUCCCGAGAUAAGGGGGCUUCUAGCAACCAUCUGCAUUCUGGACCCAGGUA